UAAUUAUGUGAUAUAAUCAAAGAAUAUAGACGUUAAUAGAAGGGCACUACCCUGUAACGUUUCAGCAUAGGAUUUUGUGUUCCUACUGAGUAGGUGCAUGUGGCCUGACAACGACUACGGUAUUUUCAAGGGACAAAUCAACGUGACCAUUUUUUCCAUAGUAGUUAUUCAUACAUAGUAGGAGAGUAGUUAUUCUUUAAUAUAUUUGAUUUAAAAUGAAUCAGGAUUUUUGUAAUUUGGCAACAACGUCAAUAUAGAUAACAACGUAGUAAUGACACAAGAAUCUACAGGUCGAGCAAGUCUCGUAAAUUUCACGAUUGCGAGCCACGCUUCACGCAACCGUGUUUGCGUACUUGUGUUUCGAGUUGCGUGGUCGUGCGGAGUUAUAUUUACCAAAUUUAAAUAUAAUCGUUUCUACUGAUUCAUAAUAAUAUAUGUCAAUAUGGCUACUGGGUGUAAAAGAUAAAUGUUAUUCUAUCUGUUCUUAAUGAGUUUUAGAUAAUUUUAGUUGUAUUUCUUUGUAAUUUUGUGUUGUACAAAGAUUAAUUUAACAUUUUCUCUGGAAGUAUUAAUUUAGAAAGAUAAUAUGCUUCAAUGGUGUUGUGUUUUGAAGUGUGAAAUGCAAAGUACCUAAUUGUGAUAAAGUCAAGAUAAAGUUCACUUUUAAACUGAACUAAAUAAGGUAUCUGAGAGACAACAAUGGUUAAAUGCAAUACAAUGUACAGGUUUUACUAGCGAAAUGAAAAUUUUCCUGUCCUGUCUGCUGUAAUCAUUUUAUAUCUGGAAAACCAGCCGACUUAAUCGAUAAUAACAAUCUCCAGAUUGGGUUCCUUCAAUAAAUAUGGGCUAUAAACACAAUGAAAUAAGUUCCCCAAAAUCUAAACUGGAGUGGUAUCAAAGGAGAAUUAAAGGAAAAAAUAUUCAUAUUGAAAUUAUUUAUAAGGCACUGGACUGUCUUAAAUUCUACAAUAAUACUAGAAUCAGCUGAGAGAAGUGGUCUACAAAAAACCAGGAAGGAAACGGAAUAUGUGGCUACGAAAGGCAAAAGAAAAGUUUACAAAGCAAAUGUGACACAUUUUUUUGAAAUAUUUAGGAAUAUUAGUAAAUUGCAUUAAAAAAAUGUAUGAAAAGAUUUUGUUCAAUAAAAAUGUUUAUAUUUA